UUGGAAUCGAGUCGCGGUGCCGAGUAGACUAGAGUCGCUUAAUUCGGAGAGCGAUGACAACCAAAACGAAGGAUGGUUACACCUUCUUGUCCAUAUCCUCGUCACAUCUGAUCUUCCUGCGACUCUCUUCCUUUUUGCCACUAAAGGACAAGAGCUUUUCUCACCCGUUAAGUAUUUUGCUUCAGCUCUGGGACCAUUUCGUCGUCAUGGUUUACAACUCGAUGUGGACGGGAUACGGGAUUCGCAUGAUACUACGCGGUGAAAUGGAGAUCGACUUCAUCUGCGAGAACGUGGUCGUGAUGGGUUUCACUGUGUGGUAUAUCGUGAUCCAGAUGAAGCGCCAACAAUUCUGCAGUCUCGUCAAGUUCUGUGAGAAGCUCUGGAGCUACCUCGAAGUCGGCGAGGAGGUUGUUGUGCGCCAGUUCGAACGCAAAGGCCACUACUUUCGGAACUUCAUGCUGUUCAACUUGCUCCUGAUGUGCACGUUGUUCAUUACUACAGCGCACUUCAUCAAGCUGCCGCCUUUGGAAGCUAACGGCACCGAGAGGAAAAUUCUACCAUUUAGGUUUUUCAUGGACGUUCAGGAGGAACCGGCGUACAGUGCCAUGUACACGUUGCAGUUCUUCGUUUGCUAUUUCGUCGUCUUCAUGAUCGCUAGCGCGGAGACGGUCUCGCUCUACCUGAUCAUGAUGGCUUGUGGAUAUCUGCGCUCGGUUCGGAACAGACUGUUGAGUCUGGAGGGAAACGACGAUGAUACUGGUGAAAAGGGUGAGGCCGCGUUUAAGCUGGUUGUCGGCUGCGCGUAUUUUCAUCAACAGAUUUUGAUAUUCUGCAAAGACAUAGAACGCAUGACGCGAACGCUCUUUCUCUUCGCCUGCUUCUGUCCGAUUUACAACGCGUCCAUCACGGGUAUCGUCCUUCUCAACAACGACGAGGACAAAUUCAAGUUCAUCCUGAACCUGUUCUACAAUUUUUUUCAAUUUUUCCUCUGCCAGUGGGCUCCGGAAUACCUUUCCGAAGAGAGGCCGCUUACUUUGCGAGCUUGCAACCACUGGCAUCAAGUCACCGGCAGAAGAUCAAUCGAAUAUUGUUUUUCAUGAUGAUGAGAGCCCAGAAACCGGUACAACUUACAGCUGGUGGGUUCGUUAAGUUAUCUAUCGAAACAUUUGGCGCGAUGUCAAAGAAUGCGUUCUCUUUCUUUAUGGUUUUGCAAAACUUUCGGAGUUGAAGCGACAGUAUUUAUUUUUACUUUAUUCUGUUUGAACAUAUUAAAAACCUUUUACAAAAGAACAGCAUGCAGGUAGAAGAUGAAGCGAUAAUUUGUAAAACAAUAAAUGUAUGAGGGAUACGAAUUUGAUUAUAUCGGUGUAAAUGUG